rnacentral:rRNA from 1 species
GACGAACGCUGGCGGCGUGCUUAACACAUGCAAGUCGAACGGUGAAGGGACCGGUUUUUGCUGGUUCUGGAUGAGUGGCGAACGGGUGAGUAACACGUGAGUAACCUGCCCCCUUCUUCUGGAUAACCGCAUGAAAGUGUGGCUAAUACGGGAUAUUCUGCGCCUGCUGCAUGGUGGGUGUGGGAAAGAUAUUGUUUCGGUGGGGGAUGGGCUCGCGGCCUAUCAGCUUGUUGGUGGGGUGAUGGCCUACCAAGGCGGUGACGGGUAGCCGGCCUGAGAGGGUGGACGGUCACACUGGGAAUGAGACACGGCCAAGACUCCUACGGGAGGCAGCAGUGGGGAAUAUUGCACAAUGGGCGCAAGCCUGAUGCAGCGACGCCGCGUGAGGGAUGGAGGCCUUCGGGUUGUAAACCUCUUUCGCCAGUGAAGCAGGCCUGUCCCUUUUGUGGGUGGGUUGACGGUAGCUGGAUAAGAAGCGCCGGCUAACUACGUG